rnacentral:rRNA from 1 species
UGGAUGAACGCUAGCUACAGGCUUAACACAUGCAAGUCGAGGGGCAGCAUUUCAGUUUGCUUGCAAACUGGAGAUGGCGACCGGCGCACGGGUGAGUAACACGUAUCCAACCUGCCGAUAACUCGGGGAUAGCCUUUCGAAAGAAAGAUUAAUACCCGAUGGUAUAAUCAGACCGCAUGGUCUUGUUAUUAAAGAAUUUCGGUUAUCGAUGGGGAUGCGUUCCAUUAGGCAGUUGGUGAGGUAACGGCUCACCAAACCUUCGAUGGAUAGGGGUUCUGAGAGGAAGGUCCCCCACAUUGGAACUGAGACACGGUCCAAACUCCUACGGGAGGCAGCAGUGAGGAAUAUUGGUCAAUGGGCGCAGGCCUGAACCAGCCAAGUAGCGUGAAGGAUGACUGCCCUAUGGGUUGUAAACUUCUUUUAUAUGGGAAUAAAGUUUUCCACGUGUGGAAUUUUGUAUGUACCAUAUGAAUAAGGAUCGGCUAACUCCGUGCCAGCAGCCGCGGUAAUACGGAGGAUCCGAGCGUUAUCCGGAUUUAUUGGGUUUAAAGGGAGCGUAGGUGGACAGUUAAGUCAGUUGUGAAAGUUUGCGGCUCAACCGUAAAAUUGCAGUUGAUACUGGCUGUCUUGAGUACAGUAGAGGUGGGCGGAAUUCGUGGUGUAGCGGUGAAAUGCUUAGAUAUCACGAAGAACUCCGAUUGCGAAGGCAGCUCACUGGACUGCAACUGACACUGAUGCUCGAAAGUGUGGGUAUCAAACAGGAUUAGAUACCCUGGUAGUCCACACAGUAAACGAUGAAUACUCGCUGUUUGCGAUAUACAGUAAGCGGCCAAGCGAAAGCAUUAAGUAUUCCACCUGGGGAGUACGCCGGCAACGGUGAAACUCAAAGGAAUUGACGGGGGCCCGCACAAGCGGAGGAACAUGUGGUUUAAUUCGAUGAUACGCGAGGAACCUUACCCGGGCUUAAAUUGCAUUUGAAUAUAUUGGAAACAGUAUAGCCGUAAGGCAAAUGUGAAGGUGCUGCAUGGUUGUCGUCAGCUCGUGCCGUGAGGUGUCGGCUUAAGUGCCAUAACGAGCGCAACCCUUAUCUUUAGUUACUAACAGGUCAUGCUGAGGACUCUGGAGAGACUGCCGUCGUAAGAUGUGAGGAAGGUGGGGAUGACGUCAAAUCAGCACGGCCCUUACGUCCGGGGCUACACACGUGUUACAAUGGGGGGUACAGAAGGCAGCUACCUGGUGACAGGAUGCUAAUCCCAAAAGCCUCUCUCAGUUCGGAUCGAAGUCUGCAACCCGACUUCGUGAAGCUGGAUUCGCUAGUAAUCGCGCAUCAGCCAUGGCGCGGUGAAUACGUUCCCGGGCCUUGUACACACCGCCCGUCAAGCCAUGAAAGCCGGGGGUACCUGAAGUACGUAACCGCAAGGAGCGUCCUAGGGUAAAACU